rnacentral:lncRNA from 1 species
CAUCGGACGCACCUUCGGGGAUUUUUUAACAUGUUAAAAAAUUUAGAACCCUUCCCGAAGUUGUCCCCGAAGGCUAGAAAAAGUUGCCGAUUGUUUUACGAUGGUUAAAGAUGGCACUACGAAUAGCCCGAUCUGGAUACGAUCAGUCCCGAUUUUGAAAAUUUCCAUAAUCGUGUUGCCAUCUGCGUAAAAAUCGGGACAGUGUGACGCGGGCA